rnacentral:rRNA from 1 species
CUUGCUUUCUUUGCCGGCGACCGGCGCACGGGUGAGUAACACGUAUCCAACCUGCCCUUUACUCGGGGAUAGCCUUUCGAAAGAAAGAUUAAUACCCGAUGGCAUAAUGAUUCCGCAUGGUUUCAUUAUUAAAGGAUUCCGGUAAAGGAUGGGGAUGCGUUCCAUUAGGUUGUUGGUGAGGUAACGGCCCACCAAGCCUUCGAUGGAUAGGGGUUCUGAGAGGAAGGUCUCCCACAUUGGAACUGAGACACGGUCCAAACUCCUACGGGAGGCAGCAUG